UCUUCUUCUCUCACUAUAUUCUUCGUGUUCUUCAGCUUAAUCUUCAUGUUUUCAUGGUAUCAGAGCAGGAAAAUCUUCUGAUCCUUCUCUGUUAUGUGUUAUCGAUACUUGAUGAAGCUUUUGCUGAAGUUUUUCUUCAGUUAUCUGAGAAAAAUACUGUUCGUAUAUUUUUUUCGAUGAAUGUUAAUCGGUUAAUCGGGACUUUUCUGACUGUUUGAGGCUCCUAUCCUGUAUCAGUAGAUGUUUCGAGUGAUUUUCUGACAUCUCUGAUUUUGUUCCGACGAGUUCUUCAAAUUCUAGGGUUUUCCGACUUUCGGACCUAGAGUUUUGGUGUUAUCCGAUGACCUUUUCUUCGCUUGAUGGACGCUUUGGGUAACUUUCCGGCGUCUAUGACCUUACUCCGGUGAGUUUCAGAACCUAGGGUUUCCGGUGUUGGACCUAGGGUUUUCUCUGUUGAUUGUGUUACCCGAUGACCUUUUCUUUGCUUGAUGGACGUUUUGGGUAACUUUCCAGCGUCUGUGACCUUAUUCUUGUGAGUUUCAGAACCUAGGGUUUCCGGUGUUGGACCUAGGGUAUUCUCUGUUGAUUGAAGGCCGAUCUUCUCCGGUCGCGAAGAAGGAGGGUAACUCUGUCCUUAUUUUGAGUAUUGUAUGCUGUGUAUGUGACUAUCUGGUUCCGUAUGUGAGUAUCUGGUUCCGUUAUAUUUUGCUUGUCGAAACUGUUUUACUUUUCAAGCUGGUUCAUUAAUCAUGGCUUCUAAUACCAAUGUUGGUACCUCCUCCUCGGUAGACUCUACCAGCCCCCUCUUUGUAUAUUCCUCUGAUGUCCC
rnacentral:lncRNA from 1 species